rnacentral:lncRNA from 1 species
CUCCAAUAAAAGUAGGUUACUCUAUGUGUAGGUUCUAUUGUCCACUCUAAGAUAGAAUAAAAGUAGGUUUACUCUAUAUGUAGAGUAAUUUAUCUAAUUUCGAUCAUCAAUUUAUUUUUCACUCUAAAAUAGAGUACAUUGUAGCAAACACUACAAGAAAAAAAUGGUUUUGAUAGCAGUAGAGGAUAUCAUUUUUUGUAUUUCUGCUAUGGUUGACAUACCCUUUAAUUUUAGAUAGUGUUUGUAUAUUUGGAAAUACUAUGAUAGAGUGGUAUAUUCGGAAACACUAUGAAGCGUAUAUUUAAUAGCAAAACAUAAUGAAAUGCUAUAUUUAGCUUUUUGAAUCUCCAAACCCUAAACAAGUUUUUAAUCCCUAAACUCUAAACAUAACUUAAAACUCUAAUUCCGCAUACUAUAAACCAUUGGAGAUGGUCUAAAAUGGUCUUACACUGCAUAAAAUAUCACUACUUUGAUGAACACCAGUGGGGUCGGUUUGACAUUAU